GCAUAUCAAUAAGCGGAGGAAAAGAAACCAACAGGGAUUGCCCUAGUAACGGCGAGUGAAGCGGCAACAGCUCGAAUUUGAAAUCUGGCCUCGGCCCGAGUUGUAAUCUGUAGAGGACGCUUUUGGCGCGGUGCCUUCCGAGUUCCCUGGAACGGGACGCCACAGAGGGUGAGAGCCCCGUAAGGUCGGACACCAAGCCUGUGUAAAGCCCCUUCGACGAGUCGAGUAGCUUGGGAAUGCUGCUCUAAGCGGGAGGUAUACUUCUUCUAAAGCUAAAUAUUGGCCAGAGACCGAUAGCGCACAAGUAGAGUGAUCGAAAGAUGAAAAGCACUUUGAAAAGAGGGUCAAAUAGUACGUGAAAUUGUUGAAAGGGAAGCGCUUGUGAUCAGACUCGCGCCGGGCGGAUCAUCCAGUGGUCUCCACUGGUGCACUCCGGCCGGCGCGGGCCAGCGUCGGCUGUUGCGGGGGGACAAAAGCUCUGGGAACGUGGCUCUCUCCGGGGAGUGUUAUAGCCCUCUGCAGAAUACCCCCGCGGCGGCCGAGGUCCGCGCAUUGCAAGGACGCUGGCGUAAUGGUCAUCAGCGACCCGUCUUGAAACACGGACCAAGGAGUCGAGGUUUUGCGCGAGUGUUCGGGUGCAAAGCCCCAGCGCGUAAUUAACGUGAACGUAGGUGAGAGCUUCGGCGCAUCAUCGACCGAUCCUGAUGUAUUCGGAUGGAUUUGAGUAGGAGCGUAAAGCCUCGGACCCGAAAGAUGGUGAACUAUGCCUGUAUAGGGUGAAGCCAGAGGAAACUCUGGUGGAGGCUCGCAGCGGUUCUGACGUGCAAAUCGAUCGUCAAAUAUGGGCAUGGGGGGCGAAAGACUAAUCGAACCAUCUAGUAGCUGGUUACCGCCGAAG
rnacentral:rRNA from 1 species